rnacentral:rRNA from 1 species
CCGCAGCCCGAGUGGUGGUCUUUUUUAUUGAGCCUAAAGCGUCCGUAGCCGGAUCUGUAAAUCCUUGGGAAAAUCGAGCAGCUUAACUGUUCGAAGUCCGGGGACACUGCAAAUCUUGGAACCGGGAGAGGUCAGAGGUACUUCGGGGGUAGGGGUAAUAUCCUGUAAUCCUCGAAGGACCACCAGUGGCGAAGGCGUCUGACUUGAACGGAUUCGACGGUGAGGGACGAAGCCCAGGGUCGCAAACGGGAUUAGAUACCCGAGUAGUCC